AUAGCGUAUAUUAAAGUUGUUGCAGUUAAAAAGCCCGUAGUUGAACUUCAGGCCUGGCCGGGCGGUCCGCCUCACUGUGUGUACUGUCUGGCUGGGUCUUACCUCUUGGUGAGCCGGCAUGCCCUUUACUGGGUGUGUCGGGGAACCAGGACUUUUACCUUGAGAAAAUUAGAGUGUUCAAAGCAGGCCUACGCCCGAAUACAUUAGCAUGGAAUAAUAGAAUAGGACGUGCGGUUCUAUUUUGUUGGUUUCUAGAGUCGCCGUAAUGAUUAAUAGGGAUAGUUGGGGGCAUUUGUAUUGCGUUGCUAGAGGUGAAAUUCUUGGAUUGACUCAAGACCAACUACUG
rnacentral:rRNA from 1 species